AAUAUUUAAAAGUAAUCUGGGACAAUGAUGUUAAAAGUUAUAUAAUGAAGUAUUAUUAUAGUUAUGUACAUUGUAAUAGGAGAUAUACAAUUUGUAUAUUGGAGCACAUGAAGCAACUCAAAUAGAAUCUCCACUGCGAAUUGCUUUGAUGUCAUUUUGGAAAGGAUCUCAAAUUUGUAAUGAAGAUUUCAAGAAACUGAGCCCGUUUAGAUCAAUCUUUAGACGACUAAUAAUAAUAAAUGUUUAAUCUAUUUUAAUUUUCCAA